UACGUAGAAGGCGAGCGUUAUCCGGAUUUACUGGGCGUAAAGCGGGCGUAGGCGGCUUUUUAAGUCGGAUGUGAAAUCUCUCGGCUCAACUGGGAGGGAUUGUCCGAUACUGUUGGGCUAGAGGGCAGCAGGGGGAGGUGGAAUUCCCGGAGUAGUGGUGAAAUGCGUAGAUAUCGGGAGGAACACCAGUGGCGAAGGCGGCCUCCCAGGCUGUUUCUGACGCUGAGGCCCGAAAGUGUGGGUAGCAAACAGG
rnacentral:rRNA from 1 species